rnacentral:lncRNA from 10 species
UUUGCUGUGCCUGGACUGCUCCGGAGGGUCAGAGUGGAUUCAUCAGUUUCUCCCUCUUCUUUGGGAAAGGGGUGGCCAUGCUGACUUUCGACAAGCCUUCAUUCUAAUGUGGCUGCUCAUCUGCUCUGAGGACAUCACAUCUACUGGAGCUAGAAACAAAUGAAAAUAGCGUGGAAAAGCUGCCAUCACAAGACAGGUCAUCACAAGACUGCUGUUUGCUCUUUCCACUGUUCAUUGCAUCCUCUUCAGGGUCAAGAAGAAGUCACCUGCCAAGGGAACAGUAGGAGAUGGAGAUGCAUUGUAUUGGUGGAGCUGUGAAGGUGGAGGUGCCUGGUACACCUUGACACAGUGACCUUGGAAGACAAGUAGCCUGGUCUCUUUUGCAUAUUGUGUUCUGAGUUCCAGAUUCAAGUACUUCCAACUGCUUCCUUGUCAUCUCCACUUGGUGAUGGAAUGAGCAGUCCAAACUUUCAUAUACUCAAUGAUAAACUCUUGACACUGUUUGGGUUUUAAGUUUAUUUUUGGAAGGGGACCCAGGGAACAAUAGUGAGGGACUAGGAAGAGUAAAAUGGAAAGAGGAAAAUCCAUUCCAAGGAACUAUGGUAGAGCUGGUUACUGCUGUGGAUACCUGGGGGCUUAGUUCCAAUGGGUGUUCUUUUAAAAGAUACACACGUUGAGCCUCAGAAUUAUCCACCUGCUCUAAACCCUCAUUGGUCAAAAACUGCCCCUGAGGUGUUAACUUCCUUGGUCUUCCAGGCUUACACAGGGACCUGAAUGGCUGAGUGAGCUUCUGGAAGAGUCCCAUGGAAAGGCUAAGAAACUCUGGGGCAAAAGGCAAGAAAUGCAAGGUGCAGCUGAGGCCACGGUGCUGCCAGGCUUCACCCACUGCAGCUUGUUGCCACAGCAACUGCUGGAACAAAAAGGUGGGUGGUGAGGAUGUGAGAGGGUGCAAUACCUGGGAGUCAUCCUUGACUCUGCACUUUCUCUUUACCACUCAUCAGUAACUUCUAUUGACUCUGCUGAUAGGUCUCCCACUUCAUCCUUGUUUCCCUUCUCUUUCCCCCACUACACAUCCAUGCAUAUGCACAUGCAGCAGCUAGACUAAACCUUUAAAAACUCAUGUUUUUUCUCCUCUCAAACCCCAAUGGCCACUCAUCUCACUCAGAAUAAAAUCUAAAAUCCUGUCCAGGAUCUAGAAAACUUGCAUGUUUUGGACCUUUGCUCCCUUUUUGCUAUGGUUUCAAUGUCUUUGCCUCCUCCAAGAUUCAUGUUGAAACUUAAUCCCCAAGACAACAGUAUUAAGUGAUGUGGCCUUUAGGAAGUGAUUCGGCCAUAAGGGCUCCAACCUCAUGAAUGUAUUUGUGCCCCAUGAAAGGGCAUUGAGGGGGUGAGUUUGCCCCUUCUGUCUCUUUUCGCAUGUGAGGACAUAGCAUUCAUGCUUCCAGAGGAUGCAGUGUUCAAGGUACCAUCCUGGAGGCAGAGACUGGGUCCUCAGCAAACAUCGAACUGCUGAUGCCUUGAUCUUGGACUUUCCAGCCUCCAGAGCUGUGAGAAGUAAAUAUUUGUUAUUUAUAAAUUACCCAGGCUCAGCUCUGUUAUAGUAACACAAGCAGAGUUUCUGAUCUCAUCUUAUGCUUCUUUUCCUCUCUCUCUCUCUUCUCCAGCAACUCUGGCCUCUUUGCUGUCUUCAGAUUGCCAGGCAUAUUUCAAGAUCUUUGCAUUUGCUAUUCCCUCUUCCCAGAAUGUGAUUCCUUCAGAUAGUCAUAUGGUUCAGCCCCUCAUCUCAUUCAAGUCUCUGCCAGAUCUCACCUCAUCUAGAAGUUCUUUUCCGAUCAUCGUAUCUAAAAUAGUACAUUUUCAUCCAUCCAUCCAUUUCCUUUCCCUUAUUUCUCUUCCUAUCUAAAAUAUUAUAGAUGUAUUCGUUUGCUUUUGUCCUCUUUUCUCUCAUCUGAAUGUUAGUUUGCGACAGCGGGGGUUUUGUUUACUGACAUAUCUCCAGCGCCUAGAAUAGUGCUUAGCAUACAGGGCAAGACUCUACUCAACAAGAAUCUGCCAGAGGGCAGGGUCACACAUCAAUCUAAUCAGAUACUCUUUUGUGAAUACACAGAGAAGAUGUCAGUGGAAGAGCAGAUGGUCCCAGAGCUUGGCGUGUAUCCUGAAGGAUUCUGUGCUCUUGAUCUUGUCCUCCAUUCUUCACAUUUUGCAGUGCAGGGGCCAAGAUGUCAGCAUGGCUAAGAAGAUGGCAGUCAUGGCCACCUCAAGUCCAGGUAUCCCCAGCUAAAGCCCAAACACCACCUAGGGGGACCUGAGAAUAUGUGCCUCUUUCUCUUUACUCCAAGACUGACUAAUAGAGCCAUGGUGUCUAUGAAAGCAUUUUGGAGAGCUCCAGUGACUAGGCUUCUCUUGGCACAAAUAUGCAAUUUCUCCUGGGGAGACAGCACAUGUGCUUUUCUGUAACUGGAGUACAUUUCAAUCUAAUAGAGAACAGGAAUAUAAUCCAGUACUAAUUUUAGAUGCCGGAUUCUUGUACAGAGCCACACUUUCAGGAAGGGAAAGAGGAAAGGCAAGUAGGUGUAUUGGCAUUGGGUUGGGGAAGCAAUUACAGAGGAAUUUUAGGACCUGCUUAAAAACACUAACACUUUCUGAACCAAGGUAGUGGUCUGCCCUAGGGAUGGGAAAAUAUGGUCUAUGGGCC